rnacentral:lncRNA from 1 species
GCAGAUUCUUUCGCUGUGCCCAAUUAGCUGCUGCCGCGCCUUGGAGUCCGGAGUAACUUGGCCAGGCUGGCCCCGAGCGGAACUGGAGAAAGCUGAGGGUGAGGAAUCCGGCUCCGGUCCUUUUGUGUGUGGAGGGCUGAGGAGAGGAGUUUGCGUGUGUGAUUGCCAUGGUUGCCGUGGGUCUUCGUGGUCUGUGACUGUGGCUGCGUGGUGCUGACUCUGGGUGAUCAAGUGGGCGCUUGUGACUGUGCGCGCUCGGAGUGGAUGUGUGUGUCCUGGACGAGCCGCGUUGUGUGUGCGGAUGUGGACAACCGGUGACUGUGUGGUUGGGGCUGCGUGUCCCAGGGUGGAUGUGUGACUUUGCGUGUGUGUGCAGUACUGUGUGUGCGUGAGUUGCAGGUCUGUGGCUGUGCAGGUGCAACUUGUGUGGCCCCGUGGUCUGUGUGAGAGAGGAGAGUGUGACUGGCUGUGAGGCAGAGGGUAAGUGGAUAUAGGGAGGCAUGUGUGUGAUUGGAACUUUGUGUGUCCCCUUGAGAGAAAAAAACCUUUAGGGAGUUAGAGCGGGUCCUUGGUAAAACUCCUUUAAACAGAGAAACAGCCAGAAAAAUCAGGCUGCAGGCACAGAGAAGGAAAACUAGCAAAGGGGGUUGUCCUAAAGACAUUCCUCAGCUGCACUGAUAAGGGACCGAGGCCCAACAUAGAAAUGCCUUUGUCCUUUGUGUGACCAGCGGGCUUCCAGGAAAUAGUCGCUUUUUUGUGGGCAUGUAUACAGUGGGCUCUGUUAGAUUUUGAAGGGAAGGCGAAGGUUAAAGAAAGAGAGUUGGCGGCUCUAUGGAGGGGACCAACUAAAUGCCAGAGCCCACUGCCGCUUACAAGCUGGAGUAAUUAUAGGCCUGGGCAGGAGGGGUCUGGGCAGUAUAGCUUGUUGCCUGGGAGAAUGUUGGUAAGGAUGUUUCUUGGGCCUUUCCCCAGCAGGAUGUGAUAAGGAAGUCAGGCGGUUGGGGAGGAUGUUUCUCGCAGCCCAAACCCCAGUGGAAUGUUUCCCUCUGAACAGGGUCUGUGAAAUGGUGGGGGCUUACAAAUCGGUGCAGCUUGGACUAACAGGCUCCGGCGGCCACUUUGUUUUCUGGACAUGCUUUGGACUGUGAGCCGAGCCUCUAUGAAUCAUCACUUCAGCCUCUGAUUGGUCCUGGGCCAAACUUUCACUUCAGCCCCUGAUUGGUCUUGGGCCAAAAUUUCACUUCAGCCUCUGAUUGGUCCCAGGCUAAGGUCCCGGGCCAAGCGAAGUCGUGCUAUCUCCAAGACAGCUCACAGACCAGUGAGCACAUUCUUCCUCUUCCCAGUUCACAAAACCCCCAGAUUCAGCCUCCUAGUUGGCAACCCUCUUUCGGGUCCCCUCUCUGCUGGGGAGAGCUUUCUUCUUUUGCUUAUUAAACUUCUGUUCCAAACUCA